GGGGAAUCUUGCGCAAUGGGCGGAAGCCUGACGCAGCGACGCCGCGUGCGGGAGGAAGGCCCUCGGGUCGUAAACCGCUUUCAGCAGGGACGAGGCCGCAAGGUGACGGUACCUGCAGAAGAAGCCCCGGCUAACUACGUGCCAGCAGCCGCGGUAAUACGUAGGGGGCGAGCGUUAUCCGGAUUCAUUGGGCGUAAAGCGCUCGUAGGCGGCCUGCUAGGUCGGGAGUCAAAUGCGGGGGCCCAACCCCCGGCCGCUCCCGAUACCGGCGGGCUUGAGUUUGGUAGGGGAAGGCGGAAUUCCCGGUGUAGCGGUGGGAUGCGCAGAUAUCGGGAAGAACACCGGUGGCGAAGGCGGCCUUCUGGGCCACAACUGACGCUGAGGAGCGAAAGCUGGGGGAGCGAAC
rnacentral:rRNA from 1 species